rnacentral:snRNA from 1 species
GGAUUUGAGGGUUACCUGGCUGUGACAUCUGUCAGCCCAUUGAUCGCCAGGGUUGAUUCGAUUGAUCUGGCUGGCUAGGCAGCUGUCCCCUUCUUCCUUCAACGGUCCAUGUGUGCCCCUCCUGUAGCUGCACACUCAGUCAGUUGAAGAGGAGGACCAGUCAAGGGCAUAAAAAGUAGCUGCACUCCCCUGCUAGAACCUGCAGACAAGCUCUCAAGAUAGUAUGUCAAAAAAUGCCUCGGAGAGUAGGACUUCUCUGAAACAAUAAGAAAGUUUCCUU